rnacentral:rRNA from 1 species
AGCAGUCGCCACGGUAAUACGAAGGGGGCUAGCGUUGUUCGGAUUUACUGGGCGUAAAGCGCACGUAGGCGGACUUUUAAGUCAGGGGUGAAAUCCCGGGGCUCAACCCCGGAACUGCCUUUGAUACUGGAAGUCUUGAGUAUGGUAGAGGUGAGUGGAAUUCCGAGUGUAGAGGUGAAAUUCGUAGAUAUUCGGAGGAACACCAGUGGCGAAGGCGGCUCACUGGACCAUUACUGACGCUGAGGUGCGAAAGCGUGGGGAGCAAACAGGAUUAGAUACCCCCGUAGUCCCUGUCUCUUAUAC